UGUAGUUAUUCAAUCCGAUUGUAAUUGUUCUAGAUUAGUGACGGUGAGCUUUGGCUCGAGGCGACAGUCAGUCGCCGAACGUAGCCGCGGUCACGGGAUGAACGCUUUGCCUAACAAAGGUAUGGAGUAAUUCUAUAGCUCUCCUUAAAAGAAAUAUUCGUGGCGACACGCGACAGUAAACAUUCCAACGGUUUCUGUCCCGUGGCUCGCCACACGCAGACCCUAUUCUUCGAGUAAGAUGAUUGCCAGAUGUCGAUGCGUCUCCGCAGUACAUGUUCGGCUAGCUGGAGGGCCCGUUAUAAAUCUUAAGGUUUAGUUAACUAAAGUCCUUCAAACAGACAAACAGUCUUUGUCCCAACUACGGGAAGAUAGGGGAGACAUAUUUUUCAACGAGCGGCGUCUCCCACUAGCAACUUUCCCUCGAGGG